AUUGAACGCUGGCGGCAAGCCUAACACAUGCAAGUCGAACGAGUGGCGGACGGGUGAGUAAUGUCUGGGAAACUGCCUGAUGGAGGGGGAUAACUACUGGAAACGGUAGCUUAUACCGCAUACCAUCGGAUGUGCCCCGAUGGGAUUAGCUAGUAGGUGGGGUAAAGGCUCACCUAGGCGACGAGCCCUAGCUGGUCUGAGAGGAUGACCAGCGACAAGGGAACUGAGAAACGGUGCAGGCUGCUACGGGAGGCAGCAGUGGGGAAGAUUGCAAAAUGGGGGCAAGCCUGAUGAAGCCAUGCCGCGUGUAUGAAGAAGGCCUUCGGGUUGUAAAGUACUUUCAGCGGGGAGGCGUUACCCGCAGAAGAAGCACCGGCUAACUCCGUGACAGCAGCCGCGGUAAUAC
rnacentral:rRNA from 1 species